GUUUGCUGGAUUAGUGAUCGGCAAACCCUAAUUAUUUGGAGUAUAUUAUGUCACUAACUGCUGCAGAAAAAGCUGCAAUCGUAGCUGAUUACGCAACU
rnacentral:ncRNA from 1 species